GUAAGUAGCCUAUUAGCAGUGGAUUUGAUGAAAAGCUGGCAUUUUUGUGAUUGAUUGGCUAUGUUUGGAAUAGCAUACUACUACCAUCCUAUUUCUGCAGCAUACAGUCAGGAUCAUUCCUGAUUCGCCGGCUCAGCCUUGAGGUGUUUCUGUCCAUCACUUGCUCACCAAUGGAUCCUCUGCAGUGAAUGGGUGCUGAUCUGAAGCAUAGAGCCGUGGUGCUCAUUUGGGCAAUUUGUGUUUAAGUCUGACUCGAGACAUUCUUAGAUCCUGUUCCUCCCUCUUCUCUCCACCGUUUCCUGUCUUCCUG
ensembl:lncRNA